CUUUCUCUCCCUCAUUUGGAUGCAGCAGCGUGAAACAUUUCCAGGGAGGGGAGAAAGCUUCCAUAACGUUACGGUAAAUUUCCGAUCCCCGUAACUUCUCCGUCCGAGCUCCAAUUGCCGCACCGUUUGCGGCCACGCGUUCACUGCGUCGAGCUCUACGUUUCUACCGGAACAAUUUCACUGGAUCCAAUUAGCUUGACAGAAACGUUCACUCUUGCUUAUGUGAAGCCUGGGUAAGGUUGUGAAUAAAUAAUUGGAGCUUGAAAUUGUGAAUACUGGAACUUGGAGGAAGCGGAUUAGUUGAGUUUUGAGGGGUUGUCUUGGUUUUGAAUAAAUAGCUUUGGUCGUUACGUGGAAAUCGGCUAAGGUAUGGUUUAGGUUUCUUGCAUUUAAUAUAUAAUGUUCUGUGAAAACUUAGGCUAGAUGACCAUAGGAUAAGUUGGAAUG